rnacentral:rRNA from 1 species
GUCGAGAAUCUUCCGCAAUGGGCGCAAGCCUGACGGAGCGACGCCGCGUGGAGGACGAAGGCCUUCGGGUUGUAAACUCCUGUCGAGGGUUAUGAAUGGCGCCGGGUGAACAGUCCGGCGAGUGACGUAAGCCCUGAAGGAAGCACUGGCUAACUCUGUGCCAGCAGCCGCGGUAAUACAGAGAGUGCGAACGUUGUUCGGAAUCACUGGGCAUAAAGCGCACGUAGGCGGCACCUCAAGUGCGGAGUGAAAUCCCACGGCUUACCCGUGGAACUGCUUCGCAGACUGUGGUGCUCGAGGAUGGUAGGGGAGAGCGGAACUCCUGGUGGAGCGGUGAAAUGCGUAGAGAUCAGGAGGAACACCGGUGGCGAAGGCGGCUCUCUGGUCCAUUACUGACGCUGAGGUGCGAAAGCCAGGGGAGCAAACGGGAUUAGAAACCCCAGUAGUCC